rnacentral:rRNA from 3 species
UGGCGGCGUGCCUAAUACAUGCAAGUCGAACGAACUCUGGUAUUGAUUGGUGCUUGCAUCAUGAUUUACAUUUGAGUGAGUGGCGAACUGGUGAGUAACACGUGGGAAACCUGCCCAGAAGCGGGGGAUAACACCUGGAAACAGAUGCUAAUACCGCAUAACAACUUGGACCGCAUGGUCCGAGUUUGAAAGAUGGCUUCGGCUAUCACUUUUGGAUGGUCCCGCGGCGUAUUAGCUAGAUGGUGGGGUAACGGCUCACCAUGGCAAUGAUACGUAGCCGACCUGAGAGGGUAAUCGGCCACAUUGGGACUGAGACACGGCCCAAACUCCUACGGGAGGCAGCAGUAGGGAAUCUUCCACAAUGGACGAAAGUCUGAUGGAGCAACGCCGCGUGAGUGAAGAAGGGUUUCGGCUCGUAAAACUCUGUUGUUAAAGAAGAACAUAUCUGAGAGUAACUGUUCAGGUAUUGACGGUAUUUAACCAGAAAGCCACGGCUAACUACGUGCCAGCAGCCGCGGUAAUACGUAGGUGGCAAGCGUUGUCCGGAUUUAUUGGGCGUAAAGCGAGCGCAGGCGGUUUUUUAAGUCUGAUGUGAAAGCCUUCGGCUCAACCGAAGAAGUGCAUCGGAAACUGGGAAACUUGAGUGCAGAAGAGGACAGUGGAACUCCAUGUGUAGCGGUGAAAUGCGUAGAUAUAUGGAAGAACACCAGUGGCGAAGGCGGCUGUCUGGUCUGUAACUGACGCUGAGGCUCGAAAGUAUGGGUAGCAAACAGGAUUAGAUACCCUGGUAGUCCAUACCGUAAACGAUGAAUGCUAAGUGUUGGAGGGUUUCCGCCCUUCAGUGCUGCAGCUAACGCAUUAAGCAUUCCGCCUGGGGAGUACGGCCGCAAGGCUGAAACUCAAAGGAAUUGACGGGGGCCCGCACAAGCGGUGGAGCAUGUGGUUUAAUUCGAAGCUACGCGAAGAACCUUACCAGGUCUUGACAUACUAUGCAAAUCUAAGAGAUUAGACGUUCCCUUCGGGGACAUGGAUACAGGUGGUGCAUGGUUGUCGUCAGCUCGUGUCGUGAGAUGUUGGGUUAAGUCCCGCAACGAGCGCAACCCUUAUUAUCAGUUGCCAGCAUUAAGUUGGGCACUCUGGUGAGACUGCCGGUGACAAACCGGAGGAAGGUGGGGAUGACGUCAAAUCAUCAUGCCCCUUAUGACCUGGGCUACACACGUGCUACAAUGGAUGGUACAACGAGUUGCGAACUCGCGAGAGUAAGCUAAUCUCUUAAAGCCAUUCUCAGUUCGGAUUGUAGGCUGCAACUCGCCUACAUGAAGUCGGAAUCGCUAGUAAUCGCGGAUCAGCAUGCCGCGGUGAAUACGUUCCCGGGCCUUGUACACACCGCCCGUCACACCAUGAGAGUUUGUAACACCCAAAGUCGGUGGGGUAACCUUUUAGGAACCAGCCGCCUAAGGUGGGACAGAUGAUUAGGGUGAAGUCGUAA